AAAAAUACGAAUAACCAAGAUUCAGACAGCUCUCCACGGAACAGGCCUUGAAAAAAACUACAGAGUGACAGAGUAGAAAAGACCAGAGGGUAAUGAAAUUAAGAAAGAAACUUCGAGGGUGGACGUCACUCUUCUUCCCGUACACCAUUUUGACAUUCGGAUUAAAUAAGAGGAUGGAAAUAGGAAAAAUAAAUUCAAAGAAGGAAAACGGGGAAGAACUAAAAAGGAUCUAAGGAGGCCGUAUCUCUGGUAUCGGCAAAAAGGUCAUCCAAUGCGAUAUGUCUAACUGUGGUUCCACUUUCUCCACACUGAACUUUGAACUCUAAACGGCUAGGCAGCCAAAAUGACUCUGUGUUGGAAAAACAUACCAAAAGAAGGCAAUUUUGAAAUCUGAGAUUAACAUUUCAUGCUCUCACGUGCUGUGCUUGAACCACAGUCACAUCAAACACCAAACAGCGACCUUAACUUCUCAUCGACAUCCCGACAUCCCGAGCAGCAAGCAAGUGACCUGAG